rnacentral:lncRNA from 1 species
AUCCAUGAGAAGACACAGUGUUCCAUCCAGAGGAUGUAGCAUCAAGGCGUCAUCUUAAAAGCAGAGAAAAGACUCUUACUUGACACCAGAUGCCAGUGCAUUGAUCUUGGACUUCCCAGCCUCUAGAACUGUAAACAGCCCUGGGACAAAGAACAGACUACGGGUAUUGCCUUCUUAAUCAACAAUAAAGUAUUAGUUGGCUUCCAGGCAGACACCACUGACUUUCAAGAGAAAGGCACGGGAGUAAGGAAGUAAAGAAUUCAGAAUUCACUAUGGAGCUCAUACAACUACCACCUUCAGCUAUUAAUCAAGGAGUCAUUCAACUGAGAAAGGGGAGAUUGAGAUGUUGAAUCAUUUCUCAUUCUGUGAAGUCUACCAGAAUAACCCAUAAAGCAAAUAUCAACCUAUUUCAAUUAGAAAAAUGAAAAAUACUGAUACAGCAGACGAAUUCUGGAACUAACACUUCCACAAAUCAUUGAUAAUCCAUUUUCCAACUUCUUCAAAUUCCAGACCAUCAACAAGCUAUUCAAAACAAUAAAUGUUAAUAGUUUUGGUGGAGUUAAGCAGCAGAAGUUAAAAGCAUUGUGGAAGACAGUAUGGUGAUUCCUCAAGGAUCUAGAAGCGGAAAUACCAUUUGACCCAGCAAUCCCAUUAUUGGGACAUCAAGGGCUCCGGACAUUGUGAAAGUUUCCCUUUAAGUUACGACGGGAAUCCAGAACAACGCCGUAUGGACCCCUCUGCAGGUAGCAAGGAAAAGCGCCAGUAACUUUUAAAGGCUUGUUUUGCAUAUUAUUCAGGCCUAAAUCACGGUUCUCAUAAAUUGAU